GACGUAGGGCGCGAGCGUUGUCCGGAUUUAUUGGGCGUAAAGAGCUCGUAGGCGGCUUGUCGCGUCGACUGUGAAAUCCCGCGGCUCAACUGCGGGUCUGCAGUCGAUACGGGCAUCACUGGAGUUCGGCAGGGGAGACUGGAAUUCCUGGUGUAGCGGUGAAAUGCGCAGAUAUCGGGAGGAACACCGGUGGCGAAGGCGGGUCUCUGGAACGGUACUGACGCUGAGACGCGAAAGCGUGGGGAGCGAACAGG
rnacentral:rRNA from 1 species